CCCUUAGAUGUUCUGGGCCGCACGCGCGCUACACUGAUGCAUUCAACGAGUUUCUUCCUGGUCCGAGAGGAAUGGGUAACCUUUUGAAAGUGCAUCGUGAUAGGGAUAGACUAUUGCAAUUAUUGGUCUUCAACGAGGAAUUCCUAGUAGACGUAGUUCAUCAGACUGCAUCGAUUACGUCCCUGCCCUUUGUACACACCGCCCGUCGCUACUACCGAUUGGAUGGUUUAGUGAGGCCCUCGGAUCGGCCCCGCCGGGGUCGGCCCACGGCCCUGGCGGAGCGCUGAGAAGACGGUCGAACUUGACUAUCUAGAGGAAGUAAAAGUCGUAACA
rnacentral:rRNA from 1 species